GAUGAACGCUAGCGGGAGGCUUAACACAUGCAAGUCGAGGGGCAGCAUAGGGUAGCAAUACUCUGAUGGCGACCGGCAAACGGGUGAGUAACGCGUAUGCAACCUACCCUGUACAGGGGGAUAACCCGGAGAAAUUCGGACUAAUAUCCCGUAAUAAUAUCCGGAGGCAUCUUUGGAUAUUUAAAGUUCCGACGGUACGGGAUGGGCAUGCGUAACAUUAACUGGUUGGUAAGGUAACGGCUUACCAAGGCUAUGAUGUUUAGGGGUCCUGAGAGGGUGGUCCCCCACACUGGUACUGAGACACGGACCAGACUCCUACGGGAGCAGCAGUGAGGAAUAUUGGUCAAUGGGCGCAAGCCUGAACCAGCCAUCCCGCGUGCAGGAAGACGGCCCUAUGGGUUGUAAACUGCUUUUCCAGGGAGAGAAACUUACGCACGUGUUGCGUGACUGACGGUACCCUGGGAAUAAGCAUCGGCUAAUCCGUG
rnacentral:rRNA from 1 species